rnacentral:misc_RNA from 1 species
GUUUUAAAAUUAUCGGUCAAUAAAGACCAACUAGUACAUUCAAAGACUUUAAAGAGUUGAUAUAACAUAGAUCGUGAGGAGUCGAAGUCUAGCCAAAAAAGCAAGACCUCUGAACCGUUCAAAAUGAACGAGAAACCACAAAGGAUUUCCAACACGAUCUACAAUAGGUGCACAGGUGGAGAAGUAGAAAAAGCGAUAAGGCGAGCACAUACUCCGAAGAGCCAGCAUCAACCCUACCAUUUCUUCAGUAAUGAUCCUUCCGCAGGUUCACCUACGGAAA